CCAAGACUACUUUUAGGGAUCGUUUCUAUAGUUCAUUAUUGGAGAAGUUUCUCUGAACCAGAAAACACCAGGAGGAGGUACAGCAUUCUCUCCUGAGCAUGAAGCCAGUACUUGGUGUUGCUUCACUGCAAUCGCCAUUUGCCAUUGAUGACGGUGAGUGGUUCCUGUGGGUGGGUGGGGGGAAGCUUCCUAA
rnacentral:snoRNA from 1 species